UUGAACGCUGGCGGCAGGCCUAACACAUGCAAGUCGAACGGUAACAGGAAGAAGCUUGCUUCUUUGCUGACGAGUGGCGGACGGGUGAGUAAUGUCUGGGAAACUGCCUGAUGGAGGGGGAUAACUACUGGAAACGGUAGCUAAUACCGCAUAACGUCGCAAGACCAAAGAGGGGGACCUUCGGGCCUCUUGCCAUCGGAUGUGCCCAGAUGGGAUUAGCUAGUAGGUGGGGUAACGGCUCACCUAGGCGACGAUCCCUAGCUGGUCUGAGAGGAUGACCAGCCACACUGGAACUGAGACACGGUCCAGACUCCUACGGGAGGCAGCAGUGGGGAAUAUUGCACAAUGGGCGCAAGCCUGAUGCAGCCAUGCCGCGUGUAUGAAGAAGGCCUUCGGGUUGUAAAGUACUUUCAGCGGGGAGGAAGGGAGUAAAGUUAAUACCCUUGCUCAUUGACGUUACCCGCAGAAGAAGCACCGGCUAACUCCGUG
rnacentral:rRNA from 1 species